rnacentral:rRNA from 1 species
GGGAAUUUUCCGCAAUGGGCGAAAGCCUGACGGAGCAAUGCCGCGUGGAGGUGGAAGGCCUACGGGUCGUCAACUUCUUUUCUCGGAGAAGAAACAAUGACGGUAUCUGAGGAAUAAGCAUCGGCUAACUCUGUGCCACCAG